rnacentral:misc_RNA from 1 species
AAAUGCGAUAAGUAGUGUGAAUUGCAGAAUUCAGUGAAUCAUCGAAUCUUUGAACGCACAUUGCGCCCUUUGGUAUUCCUUAGGGCAUGCCUGUUCGAGCGUCAUCUAAACCUUCAAGCCCUGCUUGGUGUUGGGUGCCUGUCCCGCCUCCGCGCGCGGACUCACCUCAAAUCCAUUGGCGGCCCCCGCGUCGGCCACGAGCGCAGCAGAAACGCGAACUCGUGAGCCCGUCCGGGCGGCUCCCAGAAGCUACACCCACCCAGUUUGACCUCGGAUCAGGUAGGGAUACCAGCUGAACUUAAGC